rfam:Mesocricetus auratus contig078834, whole genome shotgun sequence.
GGGAGAUGGCUCAGUGGUUAAGAGCACUGGCUGCCAUUUCAGAGGACCUGGGUUCCAUUCCUAGCACCCA